rnacentral:rRNA from 1 species
GGCUCAGAGUGAACGCUGGCGGCGUGGAUUAGGCAUGCAAGUCGAGCGAUCUGAAAUAUACCCGUAAGGGUGUAUGUUGGAUAGCGGCAAACCGGUGAAUAACACGUGGGUAACGUACCUUGAGGAGAAGCAUAGCCUCGCGAAAGUGGGGGUAAUACUUCAUGUGCCCUUUAUGUUGAAAUACAUUUAGUGGAAAGAUGGCCUCUACUUGUAAGCUAUCACCUUAAGAGCGGCCCGCGGCCUAUCAGAUUGUUGGUAAGGUAAAAGCUUACCAAGUCAAAGACGGGUAGCUGGCUUUAGAGAGUGGUCAGCCACAUCGGGACUGAGACACUGCCCGAACUCCUACGGGAGGCUGCAGUCGAGAAUCUUUUUCAAUGGGCGAAAGCCUGAAGAUGCGACGCCGCGUGAGGGAUGAAGGUCUUCGGAUCGUAAACCUCUUUUGCCAGGGAGGAACGCUAUUUGGUGAAUAAUCAAACUAGCUUGACUGUACCUGGCGAAUAAGCCACGGCUAACUCCGUGCCAGCAGCCGCGGUAAUACGGAGGUGGCAAGCGUUACUCGGUUUGACUGGGUGUAAAGGGUUCGCAGGCGGCCUAUUAAGUGUGAGGUGAAAUCCUUCGGCUUAACCGAAGAAUAGCCUUUCAAACUGGUAGGCUUGAGGCUGGGAGAGGAAAGCGGAACUGACGGUGUAAAGGUGAAAUUUGUGGAUAUCGUCAGGAACGCCCGUGAAGUAAUUGGCUUUCUGGUCCAGACCUGACGCUCAUGAACGAAAGCUAGGGGAGCAAACAGGAUUAGAUACCCUGGUAGUCCUAGCCGUAAACGAUGGGCACUAGGUGUCUGCUCUUUUAAGAGUGGGUGCCGUAGCUAACGCGUUAAGUGCCCCACCUGGGGACUACGGCCGCAAGGCUAAAACUCAAAGGAAUUGACGGGGGCCCGCACAAGCGGUGGAACACGUGGUUUAAUUCGAUGCUACGCGAGGAACCUUACCAGGGUUUGACAUGCAGGAAGUAACUGCCUGGAAGGGCGUGUGACCUGUAUCCAAUCAGGAACCUGCACAGGUGCUGCAUGGCUGUCGUCAGCUCGUGCCGUGAGGUGUUUCCUUAAGUGGAAGAACGAGCGCAACCCUCGCUUUUAGUUGCCACCUUUGGCUUUAUGUCAAAGAGCACUCUAAAGGGACUGCCCGCGUUAAGUGGGAGGAAGGCGGGGAUGACGUCAAGUCCGCAUGGCCCUUAUGUCCUGGGCUACACACGUGUUACAAUGCCGAUUACAGAGGGCGGCUAAGCCGCAAGGUGGAGCAAAUCCUUUAAAAAUCGGCCCAGUUCGGAUCGAGAGCUGCAACUCGCCCUCGUGAAGCCGGAAUCGCUAGUAAUGGCGUAUCAGCUACGACGCCGUGAAUACGUUCCCGGGCCUUGUACACACCGCCCGUCAAGCGCUGAAAGUGGGGGGCGCCCGAAUCCCCGAUUUAUCGAGGCCACGGUGAAUUUCAUGAUUGGCGCUAAGUCGUAACAAGGUA